GGGAAGAGCCCAGCACCGAAUCCCGCGGCCGUUCCCGGACGCCGGGAAAUGUGGUGUUUGGGAGGAUCCGCCAUCCCGAGGUCGUGCGGCGCGUCCAAGUCCUUCUUGAACGGGGCCACUUACCCACAGAGGGUGCCAGGCCCGUAGCGGCCGCCGCCGACAGCGGGAGGAUCUCUCCUCAGAGUCGGGUUGCUUGAGAGUGCAGCCCUAAGUGGGUGGUAAACUCCAUCUAAGGCUAAAUAUGACCACGAGACCGAUAGCGAACAAGUACCGUGAGGGAAAGUUGAAAAGAACUUUGAAGAGAGAGUUCAAUAGUACGUGAAACCGUUCAGGGGUAAACCUGAGAAACCCGAAAGAUCGAUUGGGGAGAUUCAGCGUGUCUCGUUGCGCGCGAGUGGUUGUGGAGUGACGGACGGCGUUCGCGCCGCCUGCGCCUGCUGCCGCCGCAGCGCGACGAACGCGUGCAAUUCUCCCCUAGUAGGACGUCGCGACCCGUUGGGUGCCGGUCUAAGGCCCGCUGUGGAGCCCGUGCGAGACGCCUCGGCGUUUCGUCGGACCAGCGGUGUCCCGGCCGGCUCGCUCGACGGUACGACAGUGGCGCGGGGCCGCGACUUGUGCGCGUCCGGCCCGUCGCAAGCUCGGACGGUCAUCCGGCGGUCGGACCUAGUGCCGACUCUGGACCCGCCCGGCUGCUGGCGACGGUGUCCUCGGACAGACCCCGAAAACUCCCCCUCGGGGGUGUUAUACGCCGGUCGGCGACGCUUUAGCUUUGGGUACUUUCAGGACCCGUCUUGAAACACGGACCAAGGAGUCUAGCAUGUGCGCGAGUCAUUGGGACCAGCGAAACCUAAAGGCGAAAUGAAAGUGAAGGCGUGCCUUCGGGCGCGCCGAGGGAGGAUGCGCCGCGCCCAGGCGCGGUGCCGCACUCCCGGGGCGUCUCGAGCUCACUGCGAGCUGAGGCGCACCCAGAGCCCCG
rnacentral:rRNA from 1 species